AUAAAACUCCUAAACCCCUGUGAACUUACUGGUGUUUGGCUCGCCAGAUAUAGUCUGGUCCGUAAGCAAAUCGACUGCCUGCCUGUGUAACAGGCAGGUAAGCUUUUGUCGCGGGGUCCCGGAUCAACCCGGGCUAGAUAGCCACUUAACUAUAUACUUUUUAUAAAAUCUGUGAACUUACUAGGUUGGAUUCUCGCCAGAGAUAGUCUGGUUUCUGCUUCGCGGAUCGCCUACCCGUGACACCUGUCACAGGUAGGUAAGCUUUUGCCGCGGGUCCGCAUGUAAAUCGUCUGUUUCACAAGGGACGGCGAUUUACCUGUGGAAGAGGUCCGCUAACUAUAUUCUUAGUAUAGUUUGUUCACUAGAUCAAACAUUCUGAAUAAAAACUUAAACUAGUUAAAACUUUCAACAACGGAUCUCUUGGUUCUGGCAUCGAUGAAGAACGCAGCGAAAUGCGAUAAGUAAUGUGAAUUGCAGAAUUCAGUGAAUCAUCGAAUCUUUGAACGCACAUUGCGCCCAUUAGUAUUCUAGUGGGCAUGCCUGUUCGAGCGUCAUUUCAACCCUUAAGCCCCUGUUGCUUAGCGUUGGGAGCCUACAGCCUGCUGUAGCUCCUUAAAGGUAGUGGCGGAGUCGGUUCACACUCUAGACGUAGUAAAAUCUUUAUCUCGCCUAUGGAUGAGCCGGCGCCUUGCCGUAAAACCCCUAAUCUUUCACAAGGUUGACCUCGGAUCAGGUAGGAAUACCCGCUGAACUUAAGCAUAUCAAUAAGCGGAGGAAAAGAAACCAACAGGGAUUGCCCUAGUAACGGCGAGUGAAGCGGCAACAGCUCAAAUUUGAAAUCUGGCCUUCGGGUCCGAGUUGUAAUUUGCAGAGGAUGCUUUGGGCGCGGUGCCUUCCGAGUUCCCUGGAACGGGACGCCUUAGAGGGUGAGAGCCCCGUACGGUUGGACACCAAGCCUCUGUAAAGCUCCUUCGACGAGUCGAGUAGUUUGGGAAUGCUGCUCUAAAUGGGAGGUAAAUUUCUUCUAAAGCUAAAUAUUGGCCAGAGACCGAUAGCGCACAAGUAGAGUGAUCGAAAGAUGAAAAGCACUUUGAAAAGAGGGUUAAAUAGCACGUGAAAUUGUUGAAAGGGAAGCGUUUACGACCAGACCUUUUCGCAGCGGAUCAUCCGGUGUUCUCACCGGUGCACUUCGCUGGGUUGAGGCCAGCAUCGGUUUCCGCAGGGGGAUAAAAGCCUGGGGAACGUAGCUCCCUCGGGAGUGUUAUAGCCCCUCGCAUAAUACCCUUGCGGGGACCGAGGACCGCGCU
rnacentral:rRNA from 1 species